rnacentral:rRNA from 1 species
UACGAAGGGGGCUAGCGUUGUUCGGAAUUACUGGGCGUAAAGCGCGCGUAGGCGGCUAUACAAGUUUCGGUGUGAAAGCCUGGGGCUCAACCUCAGAAUUGCAUUGAAGACUGUAUAGCUUGAGUAUGGCAGGGGAUAGUGGAAUUUCUGGUGUAGCGGUGAAAUGCGUAGAUAUCAGGAGGAACACCUGCGGUGUAGACGGCUGACUGGACCAUGACUGACGCUGAGGCACGAAAGCGUGGGGAGCAAACAGG